CGAAGCAACGCGAAGAACCUUUACCAGGUCUUGACAUCCCGAUGCUUAUUUCUAGAGAUAGAAAGUUACUUCGGUACAUCGGUGACAGGUGGUGCAUGGUUGUCGUCAGCUCGUGUCGUGAGAUGUUGGGUUAAGUCCCGCAACGAGCGCAACCCCUAUUGUUAGUUGCCAUCAUUCAGUUGGGCACUCUAGCGAGACUGCCGGUAAUAAACCGGAGGAAGUGGGAUGACGUCAAAUCAUCAUGCCCCUUAUGACCUGGGCUACACACGUGCUACAAUGGUUGGUACAACGAGUUGCGAGUCGGUGACGGCGAGCUAAUCUCUUAAAGCCAAUCUCAGUUCGGAUUGUAGGCUGCAACUCGCCUACAUGAAGUCGGAAUCGCUAGUAAUCGCGGAUCAGCACGCCGCGGUGAAUACGUUCCCGGGCCUU
rnacentral:rRNA from 1 species